rfam:Strigomonas culicis Cont2449, whole genome shotgun sequence.
AAAUCUUCUCGGCUUUUUAGCUAAGAUCAUGUUUUUUAUAUUGUUCUUAUCAGAGUAACUCCUGAUAUUCGUCGCAAGACGAAGGACUCUAAAUUAUUGAACAUGGACGUUAUCCUGGAGUUCCACUUUUCCAGGGUAGCGUCCUCCUU